CACGUGAGGUUUCAAGAAAUGCUCGGCCUUCAAAUUCCUGCCUUGUUACAAGUUACAAAACGCUUGGUUGUCACAUUGCGGUCCCUCCGGAGUGGGUGAGGACUGGGUCUGAAAACACACCAUCGGGAUGGAACAAACCUACUUCUAAUGAGGUCAGGAAAGAAUAAGGAUUAAGAGAAAUUGACCAGAGUGGAUGAGGGCAGCACCAAUCAGAUUUCCAGGAGCAGAAGAUUGUGAAUGUGACCCUUCAUUAAAAAAGAUGUUGGCUCUGACAAAGCUUCAGGCCCCAGAGAAGCAAUAUACCAUGCUGUGGACUGCCUGUGGAGAGAGAAUUGUGGGCACCUGUAGCGGCUAAGGGCAACCUCUGGCCAACACCCAUCGAGGAAUUCUGCUAACCUGUGCAAGCUUGGAAGUGAAGUCCUCCUCCACUCAACUUCCAGAUGAGAACACAGCCCAGCAGAUUGGGCUACUUAAUUGUAGCCUUGUGAGACCGUGAGCAAAGGGCCAGAGAUUAUUGCCUGGUGGGAAUCCUAUAUCCUUCAUGCACCUCUUCUCAAUCCUGCCUUCAGUGACGUCACAUUGGCGGCCUGAAAUAUGUCAUGGUGGGAGUAUUUUCACCAUAGAAAUUGGUAAAUGUUACUAACCAGAGCUGGACUUAUUGCUUUAUUAGUUGUGCAGACUUAAGGUGUUGGAGAAAAUGUCAAUGAUGUGGAUCACACUUUGAAGGGUGGCACACCUUUUAGUCAUUAUGAUGCUAAUAACUCAAACACUUGAGGAAGCCAGCUUUCAGUAUUCAAAAAUUACUAGCCUGCCCAGCAAAGAACUAGGUCAGGUCUUUGGCCAAUGAUAGCAAGUUCUGACCUACAUCGUCAUUAUUCCACUUUGUGUUUCUUCUAAAUGAAAGUAGC